CACACACACACACAACACUCAGACACCACGUUACUGAACACUGAUCGACUCCAGGCUGACUUUCCUAACUGACUGCAUUCUGCUCGCCUCUCCUCACUUUUAUUGUUUUGUCUGCACUACAAUAUGCGGCUCUUCAAACUACAGAUUGUUUGUUUCCUGUUGGCUGGCUGGAUGGAAUCCCACAUGUUCCUGUGAAGCAGAAGAGCGUCGCACAGCAUCAGUAUCUGCAUUCCAGAAAAAGAAAGGUCCACGCAAUCCCAGAUGGAUGGAAGGAUGUUGCACAUCAUGGGAAGGAAACAUGGAA